rnacentral:rRNA from 1 species
UUGAACGCUGGCGGCAUGCCUUACACAUGCAAGUCGAACGGUAACGGGCCUUCGGGUGCCGACGCGUGGCGAACGGGUGAGUAAUACAUCGGAACGUGCCCGAUCGUGGGGGAUAACGAGGCGAAAGCUUUGCUAAUACCGCAUACGAUCUACGGAUGAAAGCAGGGGACCGCAAGGCCUUGCGCGGACGGAGCGGCCGAUGGCAGAUUAGGUACUUGGUGGGAUAAAAGCUUACCAAGCCGACGAUCUGUAGCUGGUCUGAGAGGAUGAUCAGCCACACUGGGACUGAGACACGGCCCAGACUCCUACGGGAGGCAGCAGUGGGGAAUUUUGGACAAUGGGCGCAAGCCUGAUCCAGCCAUGCCGCGUGCAGGAUGAAGGCCUUCGGGUUGUAAACUGCUUUUGUACGGAACGAAAAGCCUUCUUUUAAUACAGGAGGGUCAUGACGGUACCGUAAGAAUAAGCACCGGCUAACUACGUG